AGUGGAAUGGAAAGACUAGUGAAGUUUUGUAUGAAGGACAUGAAAUCAAACAAGAACUAGUUUUGGGCCCUAUAGUGUUGCAGCGUUCUGACUUGGCCCAUAAGCUGAAUGGUCAGAAUAAUGCCAAUGUCAACCAAAUAGACAUGUCCCCAAAACCAGCAAGUAUAAAACGGGAGCCGGCUGAAGAUGACUUACUGCUGGUUGAAGACCUGGGCACGAAUGAGAUGGUGCGGCUUGGCUUGACUCCUGAAACCAUGGGCGCUGACUAUCAAAUCUAUCAAGACAAAUUAACAGCUGAUAUUAAAAAGGAACCCGCUGCGCCCACGUU